UGUAGCAGAGCGUUUUACAGUCUUCCAUAAACAGAUCUUGAGUUACCAGAUCAUAGCAGAAAAAGAACACUUGGCCAUGGGACACCAAGUGAGUAGGCACCAAGUGAGCUAUCUAUGAACAGCUCAGUUUUGUCAUACUUGCUAAGCUAUAAAAAUCAGAUGGUCUCAGCAGUAGUCCACAGUAAAAUGGAGAUGGUAUAUCUGACACAGAUUUCAAGCAGGACCAGUGGGCUCAGAUCUUUUCAUGUAUCAUUCCAGAGACCUACUCAGUGCAUUAUACAGUAAUUUACAGGGAAAAGCUGAUGAUUUAUUUUAGGAAGCUGUGAAAAAACCAAAGGCUGUCAUAAAGUAACAAUUUCCUGAGCUGAUACCAGAAUUCUAAGGCACGGUUAAUUCAGAGAGGAAUUUUCAGGUUUGCUUCUGAAAUACCUGUCUUCUACCUCCUUUCCACCAAACUUACAGGAAAGAAAGAAAUCCAGGAUCCCAUGAAGUUCCGGGACAUCACUGAAGCAAACAGAUUGGAGACUGGAUGCAUUUGAGAGGGAUGAAAGACAUCAAGCUGCAGAUUCAAGAAGUUUUAUGAAGCAUGUUCCAUAGAGUGUACUGGCACCUGGCAAAUAAGAAGGGCAGAAGACUUAUUACAUAAAUUAUUUAUGGACUCUUUCAAUCAUAUUAUUUAUAGGAUAAGGAUGAUUCAGAAAGUAGUCUGGGCAAUAUGAUAGCCAUAGUAAUAAACUUCAAUAGACUA